AAAAGGUAUACUUGAAGGAUAUUGAAUAGAUAUUGAGCAAGACAAUUCACCCUAGUGAUCUUGCUUAAAUUAUAUGGAGAAAACUUUCUCUAGAGUUUCUAGGAUUACCAUUACAUGUACUAUUUUAAAUAAGUUGAGUUAUGUUUGGACUUCCGUGUCCUGGAUGUCUAGAAUGUCUAUAUAUUUAGACUUACAUGUCUAGAAUGACAUGUAAUAUUUUUAAAACAAGUCAAAACUACCUGUUUAGUUCAAAUGAGAACACCUCAAGAGUAUUGGAAAAAUUUGUUUCUUCAAGGGAUGGAGAGAAUUAAUGUAUGAGAGAGAAUGGAAUCCCAGCCAAAUUGUAUUUGUGCCAUUGAUGAAAACAGAAGGUGAAGCCGGAGCACCUUGUUUUGUCCUCUCCCCAUCUCCAUUGCUCCCCCCACAGCCUCCUGCGCACCAAGUAAGGAUUGUAGUCAGACACCAGGGACCACCCUUCCUAUGGUCUUCUGCUCAGUCUUCUCAAGUCCUAUCCCUGAGGCUGCACCCUAUGAAAGUUUCAUGUGACCUUAAGGCAUGUUUACAUCAGGACCAUGAGGGUCUAUUUUACUGAAACCUUUGUUUUCUGCAUAACCAAUGCAAGUCUGACUCUGAAGUCUUCAUCUAAAUUGUGAUAUUUACAGCUUUUACUGUCAACCCGGGUCCAGCUCAUUCUGAGAAGAAAG
rnacentral:lncRNA from 1 species